GACGAACGCUGGCGGCGUGCUUAACACAUGCAAGUCGAACGAUGAAGCCCAGCUGGCUGGGUGGGUUAGUGGCGAACGGGUGAGUCACACGCGAGCAACCCGCCCCUGUCUCUGGAAUAAGCCUGGGUAACUCGGUUUAAUACUGGUUAUCACUUCUCAUCGCAUGGUGGGUGGUGGAAAGUUUUUUUGGUCUUGGAUGGACUCGCGGCCUAUCAGCUUGUUGGUGUGGUAAUGGCUCACCAAGGCGACGACGGGUAGCCGGCCUGAGAGGGUGACCGGCCACACUGGGACUGAGACACGGCCCAGACUCCUACGGGAGGCAGCAGUGGGGAAUAUUGCACAAUGGGCGGAAGCCUGAUGCAGCGACGCCGCGUGGGGGAUGACGGCCUUCGGGUUGUAAACCUCUUUCAGUAGGGAAGAAGCGAGAGUGACGGUACCUGCAGAAGAAGCGCCGGCUAACUACGUG
rnacentral:rRNA from 1 species